CUAGGGGGGCUGCAGUGGGGAAUAUUGGACAAUGGGCGAAAGCCUGAUCCAGCCAUGCCGCGUGUGUGAAGAAGGCCUUCGGGUUGUAAAGCACUUUCAGUGGGGAAGAAAGCCUUGGGGCUAAUACCCUCGAGGAAGGACAUCACCCACAGAAGAAGCACCGGCUAACUCCGUGCCAGCAGCCGCGGUAAUACGGAGGGUGCGAGCGUUAAUCGGAAUUACUGGGCGUAAAGCGCGCGUAGGCGGUCUGAUAAGCCGGUUGUGAAAGCCCCGGGCUCAACCUGGGAACGGCAUCCGGAACUGUCAGGCUAGAGUGCAGGAGAGGAAGGUAGAAUUCCCGGUGUAGCGGUGAAAUGCGUAGAGAUCGGGAGGAAUACCAGUGGCGAAGGCGGCCUUCUGGACUGACACUGACGCUGAGGUGCGAAAGCGUGGGUAGCAAACAGGAUUAGAUACCCGAGUAGUC
rnacentral:rRNA from 1 species